rnacentral:lncRNA from 1 species
GAUUGUGUGAGAAAGCACGGGAGAAAAAUAUGAUAUAUUGAUAUUAAACAUGAUACAAUGAGCCCUAUAUAUACACAUAACAUAGCAUACUCCUAAUACAUAUUGGAUUAGGGUUAUUUUACUAUUAUUUACAUAAUCUAACACUCCCCCUCCAGCUGGUGCAUAUAAAUCAUAUGUACCGAGCUUGUUACAUAUGUAGUUAAUACUAGGACCAGUGAGGGACUUGGUGAAAAUGUCUGCAAGCUGAUCAUUUGACUUUACAAACUUUGUAGCAAUAUCUCCCGAGAGUAUCUUUUCUCUGACAAANNN